GAUGAACGCUGGCGGCGUGCCUAAUACAUGCAAGUCGAGCGAACAGACGAGGAGCUUGCUCCUCUGACGUUAGCGGCGGACGGGUGAGUAACACGUGGAUAACCUACCUAUAAGACUGGGAUAACUUCGGGAAACCGGAGCUAAUACCGGAUAAUAUAUUGAACCGCAUGGUUCAAUAGUGAAAGACGGUUUUGCUGUCACUUAUAGAUGGAUCCGCGCCGCAUUAGCUAGUUGGUAGGGAACGGCUUACCAAGGCAACGAUGCGUAGCCGACCUGAGAGGGGGAUCGGCCACACUAGAACUGAGACACGGUCCAGACUCCUACGGGAGGCAGCAGUAGGGAAUCUUCCGCAAUGGGCGAAAGCUUGACGGAGCAACGCCGCGUGAGUGAUGAAGGUCUUCGGAUCGUAAAACUCUGUUAUUAGGGAAGAACAAAUGUGUAAGUAACUAUGCACGUCUUGACGGUACCUAAUCAGAAAGCCACGGCUAACUACGUG
rnacentral:rRNA from 1 species